rfam:Salmo salar isolate Sally breed double haploid chromosome ssa04, whole genome shotgun sequence.
CACCCACAUGACUGUACUUUGCUUUGGAUAAAAGCGUCUGCUAAAUGGCGUAUG